UAAGCGACUAAGCGUACACGGUGGAUGCCCUGGCAGUCAGAGGCGAUGAAGGACGUGCUAAUCUGCGAUAAGCGUCGGUAAGGUGAUAUGAACCGUUAUAACCGGCGAUUUCCGAAUGGGGAAACCCAGUGUGUUUCGACACACUAUCAUUAACUGAAUCCAUAGGUUAAUGAGGCGAACCGGGGGAACUGAAACAUCUAAGUACCCCGAGGAAAAGAAAUCAACCGAGAUUCCCCCAGUAGCGGCGAGCGAACGGGGAGCAGCCCAGAGCCUGAAUCAGUGUGUGUGUUAGUGGAAGCGUCUGGAAAGGCGCGCGAUACAGGGUGACAGCCCCGUACACAAAAAUGCACAUGCUGUGAGCUCGAUGAGUAGGGCGGGACACGUGGUAUCCUGUCUGAAUAUGGGGGACCAUCCUCCAAGGCUAAAUACUCCUGACUGACCGAUAGUGAACCAGUACCGUGAGGGAAAGGCGAAAAGAACCCCGGCGAGGGGAGUGAAAAAGAACCUGAAACCGUGUACGUACAAGCAGUGGGAGCACGCUUAGGCGUGUGACUGCGUACCUUUUGUAUAAUGGGUCAGCGACUUAUAUUCUGUAGCAAGGUUAACCGAAUAGGGGAGCCGAAGGGAAACCGAGUCUUAACUGGGCGUUAAGUUGCAGGGUAUAGACCCGAAACCCGGUGAUCUAGCCAUGGGCAGGUUGAAGGUUGGGUAACACUAACUGGAGGACCGAACCGACUAAUGUUGAAAAAUUAGCGGAUGACUUGUGGCUGGGGGUGAAAGGCCAAUCAAACCGGGAGAUAGCUGGUUCUCCCCGAAAGCUAUUUAGGUAGCGCCUCGUGAAUUCAUCUCCGGGGGUAGAGCACUGUUUCGGCAAGGGGGUCAUCCCGACUUACCAACCCGAUGCAAACUGCGAAUACCGGAGAAUGUUAUCACGGGAGACACACGGCGGGUGCUAACGUCCGUCGUGAAGAGGGAAACAACCCAGACCGCCAGCUAAGGUCCCAAAGUCAUGGUUAAGUGGGAAACGAUGUGGGAAGGCCCAGACAGCCAGGAUGUUGGCUUAGAAGCAGCCAUCAUUUAAAGAAAGCGUAAUAGCUCACUGGUCGAGUCGGCCUGCGCGGAAGAUGUAACGGGGCUAAACCAUGCACCGAAGCUGCGGCAGCGACGCUUAUGCGUUGUUGGGUAGGGGAGCGUUCUGUAAGCCUGUGAAGGUGUGCUGUGAGGCAUGCUGGAGGUAUCAGAAGUGCGAAUGCUGACAUAAGUAACGAUAAAGCGGGUGAAAAGCCCGCUCGCCGGAAGACCAAGGGUUCCUGUCCAACGUUAAUCGGGGCAGGGUGAGUCGACCCCUAAGGCGAGGCCGAAAGGCGUAGUCGAUGGGAAACAGGUUAAUAUUCCUGUACUUGGUGUUACUGCGAAGGGGGGACGGAGAAGGCUAUGUUGGCCGGGCGACGGUUGUCCCGGUUUAAGCGUGUAGGCUGGUUUUCCAGGCAAAUCCGGAAAAUCAAGGCUGAGGCGUGAUGACGAGGCACUACGGUGCUGAAGCAACAAAUGCCCUGCUUCCAGGAAAAGCCUCUAAGCAUCAGGUAACAUCAAAUCGUACCCCAAACCGACACAGGUGGUCAGGUAGAGAAUACCAAGGCGCUUGAGAGAACUCGGGUGAAGGAACUAGGCAAAAUGGUGCCGUAACUUCGGGAGAAGGCACGCUGAUAUGUAGGUGAAGUCCCUCGCGGAUGGAGCUGAAAUCAGUCGAAGAUACCAGCUGGCUGCAACUGUUUAUUAAAAACACAGCACUGUGCAAACACGAAAGUGGACGUAUACGGUGUGACGCCUGCCCGGUGCCGGAAGGUUAAUUGAUGGGGUCAGCGCAAGCGAAGCUCUUGAUCGAAGCCCCGGUAAACGGCGGCCGUAACUAUAACGGUCCUAAGGUAGCGAAAUUCCUUGUCGGGUAAGUUCCGACCUGCACGAAUGGCGUAAUGAUGGCCAGGCUGUCUCCACCCGAGACUCAGUGAAAUUGAACUCGCUGUGAAGAUGCAGUGUACCCGCGGCAAGACGGAAAGACCCCGUGAACCUUUACUAUAGCUUGACACUGAACAUUGAGCCUUGAUGUGUAGGAUAGGUGGGAGGCUUUGAAGUGUGGACGCCAGUCUGCAUGGAGCCGACCUUGAAAUACCACCCUUUAAUGUUUGAUGUUCUAACGUUGACCCGUAAUCCGGGUUGCGGACAGUGUCUGGUGGGUAGUUUGACUGGGGCGGUCUCCUCCUAAAGAGUAACGGAGGAGCACGAAGGUUGGCUAAUCCUGGUCGGACAUCAGGAGGUUAGUGCAAUGGCAUAAGCCAGCUUGACUGCGAGCGUGACGGCGCGAGCAGGUGCGAAAGCAGGUCAUAGUGAUCCGGUGGUUCUGAAUGGAAGGGCCAUCGCUCAACGGAUAAAAGGUACUCCGGGGAUAACAGGCUGAUACCGCCCAAGAGUUCAUAUCGACGGCGGUGUUUGGCACCUCGAUGUCGGCUCAUCACAUCCUGGGGCUGAAGUAGGUCCCAAGGGUAUGGCUGUUCGCCAUUUAAAGUGGUACGCGAGCUGGGUUUAGAACGUCGUGAGACAGUUCGGUCCCUAUCUGCCGUGGGCGCUGGAGAACUGAGGGGGGCUGCUCCUAGUACGAGAGGACCGGAGUGGACGCAUCACUGGUGUUCGGGUUGUCAUGCCAAUGGCACUGCCCGGUAGCUAAAUGCGGAAGAGAUAAGUGCUGAAAGCAUCUAAGCACGAAACUUGCCCCGAGAUGAGUUCUCCCUGACUCCUUGAGAGUCCUGAAGGAACGUUGAAGACGACGACGUUGAUAGGCCGGGUGUGUAAGCGCAGCGAUGCGUUGAGCUAACCGGUACUAAUGAACCGUGAGGCUUAACCU
rnacentral:rRNA from 1 species